UACGUAGGCAGCGAGCGUUGUUCGGAGUUACUGGGCGUAAAGGGUGUGUAGGCGGUUCUUUAAGUUUGGUGUGAAAUCUCCCGGCUCAACCGGGAGGGUGCGCCGAAUACUGAGGGACUAGAGUGCGGGAGAGGAAAGUGGAAUUCCUGGUGUAGCGGUGAAAUGCGUAGAUAUCAGGAGGAACACCGGUGGUGUAGACGGCUUUCUGGACCGUAACUGACGCUGAGACACGAAAGCGUGGGUAGCAACAGG
rnacentral:rRNA from 1 species